rnacentral:rRNA from 1 species
UACGUAGGGUGCAAGCGUUGUCCGGAAUUAUUGGGCGUAAAGAGCUUGUAGGCGGUUUGUCGCGUCUGCUGUGAAAUUUCGGGGCUCAACCCCGAACUUGCAGUGGGUACGGGCAGACUAGAGUGUGGUAGGGGAGACUGGAAUUCCUGGUGUAGCGGUGAAAUGCGCAGAUAUCGGGAGGAACACCGGUGGCGAAGGCGGCGAUCUGGGUGGAAACUGACGGCUGAGGCGCGAAAGUGUGGGGAGCAAACAGG